rnacentral:rRNA from 1 species
UGCAGUCGACGGAAGGCUCCAGCUUGCUGGAGUACUCGAGUGGCGAACGGGUGAGUAACACGUGGGUAAUCUGCCCUGCACUCUGGGAUAAGCCUGGGAAACUGGGUCUAAUACUGGAUAUGACCUUUCUCCUUAUGGGGUUUGGUGGAAAGUUUUUCGGUGUAGGAUGAGCCCGCGGCCUAUCAGCUUGUUGGUGGGGUGAUGGCCUACCAAGGCGACGACGGGUAGCCGGCCUGAGAGGGUGAUCGGCCACAUUGGGACUGAGAUACGGCCCAGACUCCUACGGGAGGCAGCAGUGGGGAAUAUUGCACAAUGGGCGGAAGCCUGAUGCAGCGACGCCGCGUGAGGGAUGACGGCCUUCGGGUUGUAAACCUCUUUCAGCAGGGACGAAGCGUAAGUGACGGUACCUGCAGAAGAAGCACCGGCUAACUAUGUGCCAGCAGCCGCGGUAAUACGUAGGGUGCGAGCGUUGUCCGGAAUUACUGGGCGUAAAGAGCUCGUAGGCGGUUUGUCACGUCGUCUGUGAAAUCCUAGGGCUUAACCCUGGACGUGCAGGCGAUACGGGCUGACUUGAGUACUACAGGGGAGACUGGAAUUUCUGGUGUAGCGGUGGAAUGCACAGAUAUCACGAAGAACACCGAUGGCGAAGGCAGGUCUCUGGGUAGUAACUGACGCUGAGGAGCGA